GAUCCUGGCUCAGGAUGAACGCUGCGGCAUGCCUAAUACAUGCAAGUCGAACGAGAGACCUUCGGGUCUCUAGUGGCGAACGGGUGAGUAACACGUAGGGAACCUGCCCGUGCACCGGGAAUACGCUCUGGAAACGGAGAACAAAUCCCGAUGUACAGGAAGGAGGCAUCUUCUUUCUGUGAAACAUCCUUUCGGGGGAUGGGGCGCGGAUGGACCUGCGGUGCAUUAGUUUGUUGGCGGGUAAAGGCCCACCAAGACGAUGAUGCAUAGCCGGCCUGAGAGGGCGGACGGCCACAUUGGGACUGAGACACGGCCCAGACUCCUGCGGGAGGCAGCAGUAGGGAAUUUUCGUCAAUGGGCGCAAGCCUGAACGAGCGAUGCCGCGUGAGUGAAGAAGGCCUUCGGGUCGUAAAGCUCUGUUGCGGGGGAAAAAAGGCAGCAUCAGGAAAUGGGUGCUGACUGAUGGUGCCCCGCCAGAAAGUCGCGGCUAACUACGUG
rnacentral:rRNA from 1 species